rnacentral:rRNA from 1 species
GAUGAACGCCGGCGGCGUGCCUAAUACAUGCAAGUCGAGCGGAUGGAUUAAGAGCUUGCUCUUAUGAAGUUAGCGGCGGACGGGUGAGUAACACGUGGGUAACCUGCCCAUAAGACUGGGAUAACUCCGGGAAACCGGGGCUAAUACCGGAUAACAUUUUGAACCGCAUGGGUCGAAAUUGAAAGGCGGCUUCGGCUGUCACUUAUGGAUGGACCCGCGUCGCAUUAGCUAGUUGGUGAGGUAACGGCUCACCAAGGCAACGAUGCGUAGCCGACCUGAGAGGGUGAUCGGCCACACUGGGACUGAGACACGGCCCAGACUCCUACGGGAGGCAGCAGUAGGGAAUCUUCCGCAAUGGACGAAAGUCUGACGGAGCAACGCCGCGUGAGUGAUGAAGGCUUUCGGGUCGUAAAACUCUGUUGUUAGGGAAGAACAAGUGCUAGUUGAAUAAGCUGGCACCUUGACGGUACCUAACCAGAAAGCCACGGCUAACUACGUGCCAGCAGCCGCGGUAA